rnacentral:rRNA from 1 species
GAAUUUUGGACAAUGGGCGCAAGCCUGAUCCAGCCAUGCCGCGUGAGUGAAGAAGGCCUUCGGGUUGUAAAGCUCUUUCGGCGGGGACGAAACGGUUCGUGCCAACACCACGGCCUAAUGACGGUACCCGAAGAAGAAGCACCGGCUAACUACGUUCCAGCAGCCGCGGUAAUACGUAGGGUGCAGGCGUUAAUCGGAAUUACUGGGCGUAAAGCGUGCGCAGGCGGUUUGUUAAGACAGGUGUGAAAUCCCCGGGCUUAACCUGGGAACUGCGCUUGUUACUGGCAGACUUGAGUGUGGCAGAGGGGGGUGGAAUUCCAGGUGUAGCAGUGAAAUGCGUAGAUAUCUGGAGGAACACCGAUGGCGAAGGCAGCCCCCUGGGUUAACACUGACGCUCAUGCACGAAAGCGUGGGGAGCAAACAGG